rnacentral:rRNA from 1 species
UACGUAAGGGGCAAGCGUUGUUCGGAAUUACUGGGCGUAAAGGGCGCGUAGGCGGCACGGCAAGUCAGGAGUGAAAGGCCUGGGCUCAACCGAGGAACUGCUUUUGAGACUGCCGAGCUAGAGUGCAGAAGGGGCAACUGGAAUUCCCAGUGUAGCGGUGAAAUGCGUAGAUAUUGGGAAGAACACCUGAGGCGAAGGCGGGUUGCUGGGCUGACACUGACGCUGAGGCGCGAAAGCCAGGGGAGCAAACGGG